rnacentral:lncRNA from 1 species
GGGGCUGGGGGGGGCUGGGGGCACGGACAGACGGACAGGCAGGACAGACACACGGGCGGGCAGGGACAGAGGGCUGCGGGGACACGGCCAGGACCUCUGUGGGUGUAAAGAGCGGCACAAACCCGGGGAGAAAUGUGCGUGGGGGGGACACGGGCAGCUGAGGGAACCGAGGGGCAGCCGUGCCCGCAGGCACCGAGGGGAGAGGGCCGAGGGUGCCCCCCAGCUCCCCGCAGCCCCCCAAGCUGCUCGGUGGCCUCGGUCCCACCCCGGUGUGGGGAGGCCGGGGCCGAGCCGAGGUUUCCGUCCCGGCCCUGCCUCCUCCUCCUCCUCCCCGCUCCCACAUCUGCAGCUGGAAUUGCAAUUUGAACCGCUGCCGGGGCUGGGCCGGGAGGGAGCGGGGAGCGGAGGAAGGCGCCUCGGGAAGCCAGAGCGAGGAGCAGGGCGGUGGGGCCGGGUACGGGCAGGAGGGGGCUGGAAGCACCGGGCAUCACCAAAACAAGGGGGCAGGAGGGCACCCACGGCACCACCGAGGGCACCGGUGGCACCGAGGGCACCGGCAGGAGCCGUGGGAGCAGCUGGAGUGACAAGGAGGUGGCCGGCCCUGGGGUCCCCCCGCUGCCCCCGCCGCAGAGCCGGGAAGGCGAGGCCGCGAUGGCGACGCUGCUGGAGUCCGGCGUGCGCAGCCAGCGAGUGGGUAAGUGCCGAGGGGAGGGCGGCUGAGGGGGGGGUCCGUCUGCUCCCCCCGCACACACACACACACAGGGCAGCCGCUGCCCCCACCCCCCCCCCCCCGCCCCCUGCCGCCGCGGACCCCCCCCUGCGCCCCUAAUGAGCCGCGCUCCCCCGCGCCCCAUAACCAGAACCAGCUGCUGCCGCGAAACCUGACGCCGCGCCAGCAGCGGCCCCAGCAGCGGCACCGCACGGGCCCCCCCCCCACAACACCCCCCCCCCCCCCAAAAAAAGCGGCCCCGCCCCCCCCCCCCCCCCCCCCCACAGCCCCGCAGCCCCAUCCCCGGGGACUUUCCUUUUUGUCAGGGAUCAAAUAUUCAUGCCGCAGACACGGAUACAGGGAAAGGCACUUAUGGAACAGGCGUGAAGGACGAGGCCGUGGCGAGCCGGGGAGCAGCCGAGCCCCCCCCUCGACCCCCCCCCCCGUCAUCUCCUGGGGGGGGCCCAAAGCAAAAUCCGGCCUCUGGCAGCGGCACGCACGGUGCUGAGCCCCGGUGAGCCGUGCGUGGUGCCUGCUGGUGGCUUGGCUCCUGGGAGGCAAAACAGAGGGGAACGGCCGGGACCCCCACUGCCGGCAUUGGGGUGCCCACCACCAAGCCCAGCCCCAGUUUUAGGGUCGCAGGGGACCCCCCCGCUGCAGGCUGUGGGGUUCCCAAGCAGGAUUUAGGGAGCUGCCCCUGGGGUGUCACUGGGGUCAGUGGGAGCAGGGGGGGGUUCACCUGGACGCAGAUAUUUGGGCAUCCGUGCCAGGUACCCCUGGCGGGGGUCCCGCGCCCGUCCCCAGCCCCUGUCCCCAGCACAGCCCCGUGGAGCCCCCCCCGGGCCCACAGCUGGAGCCUGCCCACCCCUCAGUUCGUGCACUCACAGGAGGGUGAUUAAUUAAUCAGCCCCUCUGCUAAUUGGAGCCAUGUGCCAGGAGGAGCGCAGCCAGCAGGGAGCCCCGGGCACGGCUCCGGCGCUUGCCCCAUCCCGGGGCUGGCGAUGAGGGGCUGGGGUCGGGGGUUCCCCCCCGGGGGCUGGGGCACCAAAAUUGAGCCGGGCACCUCCGGGACGAGCUCAGGACCUCGAUUUGUGCCGCUGGAUGUGGCCGGUGGCAGCCA